AGGACGAACGCUGGCGGCGUGCUUAACACAUGCAAGUGGAGCGACGAACCGGGGCUUGCCCCGGGGCAGAGCCGCGAACGGGUGAGUAACACGUGGGUUACCUGCCUUGAUGACCGGGACAACCCGAGGAAACUCGGGCUAAUACCGGAUGUGCCCGCAAGGGGAAAGGAAGCUUCGGCCUCCGCAUCAAGAUGGGCCCGCGGCCCAUUAGCUUGUUGGUGAGGUAACGGCUCACCAAGGCUUCGAUGGGUAGCUGGUCUGAGAGGACGAUCAGCCACACUGGGACUGAGACACGGCCCAGACUCCUACGGGAGGCAGCAGUGGGGAAUCUUGCGCAAUGCGCGAAAGCGUGACGCAGCAACGCCGCGUGGGGGAAGAAGGCUUUCGGGUUGUAAACCCCUUUCAGUUGGGACGAAGCUUCUCCGGUGAAUAGCCGGACGGAGUGACGGUACCUUCACAAGAAGCACCGGCUAACUACGCGCCAGCAGCCGCGGU
rnacentral:rRNA from 1 species